CAAUAGCGUAUAUUAAAGUUGUUGCGGUUAAAAAGCUCGUAGUUGGAUCUCGGCAGGCAGGGGGUGGUUCGCUCUUAGCGCUACUGCCCCAUUUGCCUGUGUGAUUGGCGGAGGUUUCGGGGUGCUCCUCGUUGAGUGACCCGGGGCGCCGUCAGGUUUACUUUGAAAAAAUUAGAGUGCUCAAAGCAGGCUUUUCACGCUUGAAUAUUCGUGCAUGGAAUAAUGGAAUAGGAACUCGUUUCUAUUUUGUUGGUUUUCGGAAAUCGAGUUAAUGAUUAAUAGGGACAAUUGGGGGCAUUAGUAUUCAGACGACAGAGGUGAAAUUCUUGGACCGUCUGAAGACUAACUACUGCGAAAGCAUUUGCCAAGAGUGUUUUCAUUAA
rnacentral:rRNA from 1 species